UAGUGAUUGGUGUAAAGGCACAUUUCAUUUUGAUUGAAAAAGAGACAGUGUAAUUCUGUUGUUACUAA
rnacentral:tRNA from 1 species